rnacentral:rRNA from 1 species
UUGAACGCUGGCGGCAGGCCUAACACAUGCAAGUCGAGCGGUAGCACAGAGAGCUUGUUCUCGGUGACGAGCGGCGGACGGGUGAGUAAUGUCUGGGAAACUGCCUGAUGGAGGGGGAUAACUACUGGAAACGGUAGCUAAUACCGCAUAAUGUCGCAAGACCAAAGUGGGGGACCUUCGGGCCUCAUGCCAUCAGAUGUGCCCAGAUGGGAUUAGCUAGUAGGUGGGGUAACGGCUCACCUAGGCGACGAUCCCUAGCUGGUCUGAGAGGAUGACCAGCCACACUGGAACUGAGACACGGUCCAGACUCCUACGGGAGGCAGCAGUGGGGAAUAUUGCACAAUGGGCGCAAGCCUGAUGCAGCCAUGCCGCGUGUGUGAAGAAGGCCUUCGGGUUGUAAAGCACUUUCAGCGGGGAGGAAGGCGGUGAGGUUAAUAACCUCAUCGAUUGACGUUACCCGCAGAAGAAGCACCGGCUAACUCCGUGCCAGCAGCCGCGGUAAUACGGAGGGUGCAAGCGUUAAUCGGAAUUACUGGGCGUAAAGCGCACGCAGGCGGUCUGUCAAGUCGGAUGUGAAAUCCCCGGGCUCAACCUGGGAACUGCAUUCGAAACUGGCAGGCUAGAGUCUUGUAGAGGGGGGUAGAAUUCCAGGUGUAGCGGUGAAAUGCGUAGAGAUCUGGAGGAAUACCGGUGGCGAAGGCGGCCCCCUGGACAAAGACUGACGCUCAGGUGCGAAAGCGUGGGGAGCAAACAGGAUUAGAUACCCUGGUAGUCCACGCCGUAAACGAUGUCGAUUUGGAGGUUGUGCCCUUGAGGCGUGGCUUCCGGAGCUAACGCGUUAAAUCGACCGCCUGGGGAGUACGGCCGCAAGGUUAAAACUCAAAUGAAUUGACGGGGGCCCGCACAAGCGGUGGAGCAUGUGGUUUAAUUCGAUGCAACGCGAAGAACCUUACCUGGUCUUGACAUCCACAGAACUUUCCAGAGAUGGAUUGGUGCCUUCGGGAACUGUGAGACAGGUGCUGCAUGGCUGUCGUCAGCUCGUGUUGUGAAAUGUUGGGUUAAGUCCCGCAACGAGCGCAACCCUUAUCCUUUGUUGCCAGCGGUUAGGCCGGGAACUCAAAGGAGACUGCCAGUGAUAAACUGGAGGAAGGUGGGGAUGACGUCAAGUCAUCAUGGCCCUUACGACCAGGGCUACACACGUGCUACAAUGGCAUAUACAAAGAGAAGCGACCUCGCGAGAGCAAGCGGACCUCAUAAAGUAUGUCGUAGUCCGGAUUGGAGUCUGCAACUCGACUCCAUGAAGUCGGAAUCGCUAGUAAUCGUAGAUCAGAAUGCUACGGUGAAUACGUUCCCGGGCCUUGUACACACCGCCCGUCACACCAUGGGAGUGGGUUGCAAAAGAAGUAGGUAGCUUAACCUUCGGGAGGGCGCUUACCACUUUGUGAUUCAUGACUGGGGUG